AUUGAACGCUGGCGGCAGGCCUAACACAUGCAAGUCGAGCGAGUGGCGGACGGGUGAGUAAUGUCUGGGAAACUGCCUGAUGGAGGGGGAUAACUACUGGAAACGGUAGCUAAUACCGCAUACUAUCGGAUGUGCCCAUAUGGGAUUAGCUAGUAGGUGGGGUAAAGGCUCACCUAGGCGACGAUCCCUAGCUGGUCUGAGAGGAUGACCAGCCACACUGGAACUGAGACACGGCCCAGACUCCUACGGGAGGCAGCAGUGGGGAAUAUUGCACAAUGGGCGCAAGCCUGAUGCAGCCAUGCCGCGUGUAUGAAGAAGGCCUUCGGGUUGUAAAGUACUUUCAGCGGGGAGGCGUUACCCGCAGAAGAAGCACCGGCUAACUCCGUGCCAGCAGCCGCGGUAAUAC
rnacentral:rRNA from 1 species